rnacentral:rRNA from 1 species
CAGCAGCCGCGGUAAUACGAAGGGGGCUAGCGUUGUUCGGAUUUACUGGGCGUAAAGGGCGCGUAGGCGGACUGAUAAGUCAGGGGUGAAAUCCCAAGGCUCAACCUUGGAACUGCCUUUGAUACUGUUUGUCUUGAGUUCGAGAGAGGUAAGUGGAACUGCGAGUGUAGAGGAGAAAUUCGUAGAUAUUCGCAAGAACACCAGUGGCGAAGGCGGCUUACUGGCUCGAAACUGACGCUGAGGCGCGAAAGCGUGGGGAGCAAACAGGAUUAGAUACCCCCGUAGUCCCUGUCUCUUAUAC